UUAAAAGGCCAAGAGACUGAAGCCCUCCGUUUUCUCACGGAACAGGUAGAACAUGGACAACAGCAAUUCAACUUUACCCCACACCUCUCUGCCAGUAUGCUUGGACCUGGGGGGGCCAUCGCUGGGGUGAGAGGGUAGCUCAUUCAUUCAGUCCCUGGCCAUUCUUCUGAAACUACC
ensembl:misc_RNA predicted gene, 27390